rnacentral:lncRNA from 1 species
UGUAAUCUUUGAAAGACAUCAGAUGUGUUAUGGUUGCCAGGUAUGUAAUCAUCAUUUUUGAUAUUUGAAAAGGCCGAUUUACAUUAAAAGAGAGUAAAAGAUUACAAAAAAAGCUGAUUACAUUAAAUGUGGAAAGAUAGUCUACCGGUGUUUUCAAUCUACCGAUUAAUGCCCAAAUCUUCCUAAGAUCUUUGUGUCUAGGUUAGGGAGAAUGCUGAUCUUCAAGCCGGAAGCCAUAUAUCUUCAGGCCGAUGCCGAUCCGAUGCCGCUCACCUGAUAAAUGAAUAGAAACUUAGAAAAAGAAACGACGAUAAAAAGGAAACGACGAGAAAAAUAAAAAAGGAAGAAAAGGACGAAUCAGAAUAAAACGGAGAAGAUGAAUCAGAGCUGGAGGUCAAAAGUCACCUGUUUUCUUCACCGCUUCACCAAAAGAAGAUGACAGAUCUGCCAAUAGACCUGUGUUACGCCCGGUUGAAUGACCUUCUCCUGCAUAAUCUGCAGUUCCUUUCUCGCACCAUUCUCAAUACUGAAGACAAAGGGGAGAAACCUUUACUUUGGGGAGGUAUUCAACUGAUAGUUAGCGGUGACUUCUUCCAACUCCGUCCAAUUAACCCUCCCAAUUUCCGAAAUG